UUAAUAUACAAAGAUAAAGCAGCACAGGCUUCUACAAUGGAAUGGAAUUGUACACAGUUCCUGCCUCCUAAAAAGGCGUGGUCAGAAUGCGCUGACGCUACCUCGUUGAUGAAAACGUCAAAGAUUUUUCAUUUUCGCGCCUCUCUCUUGCUGUGACCAACUGGAGCUGGCCUGGGUGACUGAAUUUGGUACAUCGUCGUGGCAAGAUGCGGUCUGAUUUCCAGUUGUUGGACGAGCAGAAGGACGCUAUGGAUGGUCCAAGACUCAAUCCACUGAAGGCUCUCCGUAAGAUGGUGGAUCUGAUGUCUGCUUUGUGGUCCUAUAGGACGACGCCAUGGAUUGGGGUCAGAGA